rnacentral:rRNA from 1 species
GAUGAACGCUGGCGGCGUGCCUAAUACAUGCAAGUCGAGCGAACGGACGAGAAGCUUGCUUCUCUGAUGUUAGCGGCGGACGGGUGAGUAACACGUGGAUAACCUACCUAUAAGACUGGGAUAACUUCGGGAAACCGGAGCUAAUACCGGAUAAUAUUUUGAACCGCAUGGUUCAAAAGUAAAAGACGGUCUUGCUGUCACUUAUAGAUGGAUCCGCGCUGCAUUAGCUAGUUGGUAAGGUAACGGCUUACCAAGGCAACGAUGCAUAGCCGACCUGGGAGGGGGAUAGGCCACACUGGAACUGGGACACGGUCAAGAGUCCUAAGGGAGGCAGCAGUAGGGAAUCUGACGCAAUGGGCGAAAGCAUGACGGAGCAACGCCGCGUGAGUGAUGAAGGUGUUCGGAGCGUAAAACUCUGUUAUUAGGGAAGAACAUAUGUGGAAGUAACUGUGCACAUCUUGACGGUACCUAAUCAGAAAGCCACGGCUAACUACGUG